rnacentral:rRNA from 1 species
UGCGUAGGCGGAAUACUAAGUCAGUGGUGAAAUCCUGCGGCUCAACCGUAGAACUGCCAUUGAUACUGAUAUUCUUGAAUGUAGUUGAGGUAGGCGGAAUGUGUAAUGUAGCGGUGAAAUGCUUAGAUAUUACACAGAACACCGAUUGCGAAGGCAGCUUACUAAACUAUGAUUGACGCUGAGGCACGAAAGCGUGGGGAGCGAACAGGAUUAGAUACCCUGGUAGUCC